rnacentral:rRNA from 1 species
CAGCCGCCGCGGGAAUACGUAGGGUGCGAGCGUUAAUCGGAAUUACUGGGCGUAAAGCGUGCGCAGGCGGUUAUGUAAGACAGGUGUGAAAUCCCCGGGCUUAACCUGGGAACUGCGCUUGUGACUGCACAGCUAGAGUAUGGCAGAGGGGGGUGGAAUUCCACGUGUAGCAGUGAAAUGCGUAGAGAUGUGGAGGAACACCGAUGGCGAAGGCAGCCCCCUGGGCCAAUACUGACGCUCAUGCACGAAAGCGUGGGGAGCAAACAGGAUUAGAUACCCCCGAGUCCCUGUCUCUUAUACC